UACGGAGGGUGCAAACGUUGCUCGGAAUUACUGGGCGUAAAGCGUGUGUAGGCGGCCUUGCCAGUCGGAUGUGAAAGCCCCGGGCUCAACCCGGGAAGUGCACUCGAUACUGCAGGGCUUGAGUAUCGGAGAGGUUGGUGGAAUUCUCGGUGUAGAGGUGAAAUUCGUAGAUAUCGAGAGGAACACCGGCGGCGAAGGCGGCCAACUGGACGAUUACUGACGCUGAGACACGAAAGCGUGGGGAGCAAACAGG
rnacentral:rRNA from 1 species